AUUGAACGCUGGCGGCAUGCCUAACACAUGCAAGUCGAGCGGAUGAAGGGAGCUUGCUCCUGGAUUCAGCGGCGGACGGGUGAGUAAUGCCUAGGAAUCUGCCUGGUAGUUGGGGAUAACGUCCGGAAACGGGCGCUAAUACCGCAUACGUCCUGAGGUAGAAAGUGGGGGAUCUUCGUACCUCACGCUAUCAGAUGAGCCUAGGUCGGAUUAGCUAGUUGGUGGGGUAAAGGCCUACGAAGGCGACGAUCCGUAACUGGUCUGAGAGGAUGAUCAGUCACACUGGAACUGAGACACGGUCCAGACUCCUACGGGAGGCAGCAGUGGGGAAUAUUAGACAAUGGGCGAAAGCCUGAUCCAGACAUGCCGCGUGUGUGAAGAAGGUCUUCGGAUUGUAAAGCACUUUAAGUUGGGAGGAAGGGCAGUAAGUUAAUACCUUGCUGUUUUGACGUUACCAACAGAAUAAGCACCGGCUAACUUCGUG
rnacentral:rRNA from 1 species